rnacentral:rRNA from 1 species
GAAACACGGACCAAGGAGUUCAACUGGAUUGCGAGUCGUAGAGUUUAUCACUAAACUCAUUUUAUUUUUUUUUACGGCGUAGCGAAAGCAAAUUUGUGCGAUGUGUUGUAUUUUUAUAUUUCACUGCAGCACGGGCUGAUUAAGAAUAUGCAUAGUAUGUUUUCAUAGUGUGUAUACUUACAUAUUUCAUUUUUAAUGAAGUGUUUAAGAUUAAUCAAGCUAAAGAGCACUUUAGUUGAGACCCGAAAGAUGGUGAACUAUGCUCGGACAUGGUGAAGCCAGGUGAAAACUUGGUGGAAGCUUGCGUUGUGCGGAACUGACGUGCAAAUCGUUGCCGCCUGACCUGAGUAUAGGGGCGAAAGACUCAUCGAACCAUCUAGUAGCUGGUUCCCUCCGAAGUUUCCCUCAGGAUAGCUCGAAUUUAUUUUUUCUUUAUUAUGAGUAACACAAGGGUAAAGCAAUGAGACGCGGUAUCUGUGGGUCUUAUUUGAAUGACCUCGGCCUUCUCUCAAACUUUAAAUCUGUGCGAAUACGUGUGCUUUCUUUGAAUACUUUUUUUAUUGUAGCGAAGUCACGUUUUUUAUUGUAUCAAAAAUUCGUAGUGGGCCAUUUCUGGUAAGCAGAACUGGCGAUGAGGGAUUCAACCUGACGUUUUCAAGAUAAGCCGGGCUUAAUCAUAUCUGCUCCAACCUUCCGAUAAACGCGA